UUUCAUUAUACAUGUUCAAAAUUUUAUUACCUCAAUAAAUUAUGACAGGAUCGUAUCGGUGACAGUGACAAUAUGAUAUAUGAUUUAUUUCCUUAUAGCUUAAAGAUGUCGGAAACACCAAUCGAGUGAGCUGCACUAAUUGUUUCACUCUGGAGGCUGAAAAUAAGAAGCUUAAGGAGCAAUUAAAGAUCAGUAAGCGGAAGCUGCAGAGGGUGCAGGGGGAAAAAUUGUGCUCGGACGAGCACGCACUACGAUUGUCGAAAGAACUCCAAUUGAUGAAGGACAAAAAUAAGUUUCCUGAGGCUUCUUUUUCCGAGCAAGAAGGAAUUCCGAUGACCGUAGCAGAUUUGGAUGAACUGAAUGGCCGCGCGACAACAGACAGCAUGUUUGCUGGGUUGCUCGCUGUUCGCUUGGUCGGUGCAGAUAACCUGAUAAAGAUGAGCGUAACCGGUCAGGCGUGCCAUCGGUACGCCAAUAUGAAAAAAAGAAGACGGAACUCGUUUGUACCCAACCCCAAAAAAACUGGACCCCAACGUGUUGCAGUUUAUCUGUAACAAAAUCGCAGAACGUACUGCCAUCCGUGUUGGUUUACAAAACGUACUUACAAUUCGGCAAUAUCAGAAAUAAAAAAUAAAAACAUCAACA